AGCCACAGCCAUAUCACUCUGCAGCCCAAGACUGGUUACUCACUGAAGCUAAUCAGGGCUGAGCCUGGUCAGUAUCUGGAUGGGACAUCACUUUGGAAAAUAGGUUGCUGUCAAAA
rfam:Danio rerio chromosome 14, GRCz11 reference primary assembly.